rnacentral:rRNA from 1 species
UCCUACGGGAGGCAGCAGUGAGGAAUAUUGGUCAAUGGGCGAGAGCCUGAACCAGCCAAGUAGCGUGCAGGAUGACGGCCCUAUGGGUUGUAAACUGCUUUUAUAAGGGAAUAAAGUUAGUCUCGUGAGACUUUUUGCAUGUACCUUAUGAAUAAGGACCGGCUAAUUCCGUGC